rnacentral:rRNA from 1 species
GGGGUACUCGAGUGGCGAACGGGUGAGUAACACGUGAGUAACCUGCCCUUGACUUUGGGAUAACUUCAGGAAACUGGGGCUAAUACCGGAUAGGAGCUCCUGCUGCAUGGUGGGGGUUGGAAAGUUUCGGCGGUUGGGGAUGGACUCGCGGCUUAUCAGCUUGUUGGUGGGGUAGUGGCUUACCAAGGCUUUGACGGGUAGCCGGCCUGAGAGGGUGACCGGCCACAUUGGGACUGAGAUACGGCCCAG